GAAACGGAGCGGUACGUUUAACCCUUGAAGCCACCGCACGUUCAGAGAGUUUCUCUCAACCCGAAUAACUAAAGCCAACGUGAACUUUUGCGGACCCCGUGGUCCGCA
rnacentral:other from 1 species